AAUAGCGUCUCUCCGAACACACCCUUGAUGCUAACAAGAUGGUCAAUAAGUAAAUGAUUCCUGAGAUCGCUUUUGUAAUCCCGGUGGAUUUGCAAUUCAUACGACGUAUUGAUUAGCACAACCUAAUACAUGUAUGCUUGCUCAACGCUCGAUGCUUGAUGCUACCAUGUAAAUGCCACAUAAAGGCCUUGAUGAGUACAUUGGAGUGAGUAGGAGAUAGGAGCAUAUUGAAGUAUGUUCGAACUAGGAAUUCUCUAGUAAGGGAUGAGACAAUGCGUGUGCAAACUGCGGAUUGAUCGUCGCUAUUCGAGGGAUACUUCCAUGCUUCGAAAAAUUGCUUUGUCUGAAAAUAUCCCACGAUAUCGUUUGAGUUCAAAUUUUAUGAAAUAUAUAAAAAAUAUCAAUUAUGCUCCUAACUGCAAAAAUAACAGUAGAAAAGGAAAAAUGUCCAAUUUUCCAAAAUCUCCGUCCCAACAAAAAUGGCUGAAAAAUGUCGGCUGUC